rnacentral:misc_RNA from 1 species
UAUCUUUUGACUUGGUGUUUGAUAAAGAUGUUGAGCUAUCCCAUAAUUGGAAAAAUGGAAGUGUAUACUUCAGUGGUUAUAAGAUUGCUCAAGCUGAAAGUGACGAUGAUUCUGAGCCCUUGUUUGAAAUUGAAGAGGAUCUUCCAGUUGCUACCAAUAAUGGGAAGCCUGAGUCUGAGUCUAAGAAAACAAAGCCUCUCAUGGAAAAGACUAAACCUAAUUCCAAUGAGCCUAAGCAAAAGGUGAAAAUCAUAGAGCCGCACAAAGAUGACAAACCUAAUGAAGAGACAGAUGAGAGUAGUGAUGAUUCUUCUGAUGAUGAUGACUCCAGUGAUGAUCAGGGCAUGACAGCCAAAGGUGAGGAUGAAGAGGAUGACGAAAGUGAUGAUGAGGAUGAUGAAAGUGACGAUGAGGA